GGCCUGCGGCGUCUGUUUGUGCAGAGCGAGGCCCCGCCGGCCGGGCUUGACGUCAGGCUGGCAGGGCCUGGAACGGCCCCGCAUCGCGGCCCCCUGGGGGCAGGACGACACCGCUGGGGGCCGAGGGCAGGGCACGCCUUCGGAAUCCGGCUUCGAAGCCGGCCGCCUGACCUGGGGCAAGUGCUUUCAACUCUCUGAACUUCGGUUCCUCAUCUGCCAGUUGGCAGACGCUCAGCAAAUCUUCCUAGACUCACGGGGCGAAUUGUACAGUUGGGUAAAUCGAGGCCCAGAGAUGGCAAAAGGACCGUCCAAGGUCGUACAGCCACCCGGAAUUACAAUUCUUUUCUGCCGGGUCACACGCUGUCAUCCACGUGUUACCUAAGAGAGCUUUCCAGCCUGUGCUAAGAAAACUGCCCCACAUCAUCUGCAGUAGGACGGGGGAGUUGGAGCCCUGGUCAGGCCACUCUGCUACUGACCACAGUUUUCUCAUCUCUAAAAAGGCGCAGUAACAAUAUAAUUACCGUAUGCAGUCCCCCAGGAUACAGGGUCAAAGGAGAGCACAACCAUCGCAGUUGGAAGCCCAUGGGGCAGCCCAGUGCAGAUGCAUCUGACUUACGAAACUUCAGUGACACCUGCUCUGUGCCAGACACUGAAGAUGGAGCAGUGAACAGCACUGACCCAGCCUGUCCUCCUGUUGCCUGCAGGCCAGAAGCAAGGUCUCGCUGUGUUACCCUGGCUGGAGUGCAGUGGCUACUUACAGGCAUGAUCAUAGCAUACUGCAGCCUCGAACUCCUGGACUAGAGCAGUUCUCCUGCCUCAGCCUCCAGAGCAGCUGGGACUGCAGACACGCACCACAGAGCCCAGCCUGAGUCAUUUUGAUUCUGUAACUGGCUUCCUCUCGGCGGGCAGGCUCACACCCUCCACCCCCAGCUGGAGAUGGAAGGAGGAUGCUCACCGCCCAUUCCUCAUGCAGGCCAUCGAUGGAAAUGUCAGACAGUGCGAGUCCACGCCUGAACACUUCUGGGGUCCGCUCUGGGACUGACACUGGCAGAUCCAUCGGUGAGCUCCCGCCUGCCACCUCUGGGCCUGCAUUGCGGUGAUAGGGCCAAGGGCCUGGGCCUUCAAUUCUCCAGACUUGCCAAAAUGCUCAGCGCAGGCCUCGUCGGCAACUGCAGACAAGCAGAGGCAGCACCUGGGCUCUGCCUGUGCCUGGCACAGUGAAGCGAGGGUGGGGGCAGGAAUGAGGGUCCUCUCCAUGCAAGGGGGGAAGAUAGAAGAACAAAAUUUCACCCUAAUGUAGUGUCUUUAGACCGUGCAAUGUUGUGCUCCUGUUAGUCUGAUAUCAGGGGCUUGCAGCCUGGCAAAGGAAAAAAAACAGGCUGAGGCACAUGAUAGAAGACAGGCAGGGAUGCCACAAUCAUAACCAUGGCAAAGACCAGGAUCAGAAAGGCCCACCAUCUCUGACCCCAAAUCCCUGGGCAGAUGGUUCCAGAACUCAGAAUUUUCCCAGUUGUAGAAAGAUGGGGCCAGGUGCAGUGGCUCACGCCUGUAAUCCCAGCAUUUUGGGAGUACAAGGUGGGCGGAUCACCUGAGGUCAGGAGUUCGAGACCAGCCUGGCCAACAUGGUGAAACCCUGUCUCUACUAAAAAAAAAAAAAAAAAUUAGCCGGGCGUGGCGAUGCAUGCCUGUAAUCCCAGCUACUCGGGAGGCUGAGCCAGGAGAAUUGCUUGAACCCGGGAGGCGGAGGUUGCAGUGAGCCAAGAUCGCGCCACUACACUCCAGUCCGGGCGACAGAGCAAGAGUCCAUUCCCCCACCACCAAAAAAAAAAAAAAAAGAAAGAAA
ensembl:lncRNA LINC00963 long intergenic non-protein coding RNA 963